rnacentral:rRNA from 1 species
AACGAACGCUGGCGGCAUGCCUAACACAUGCAGGUCGAACGAUCCCUUCGGGGAUAGUGGCGCACGGGUGCGUAACGCGUGGGAACCUGCCCUUAGGUUCGGAAUAACUCAGAGAAAUUUGAGCUAAUACCGGAUAAUGUCUUCGGACCAAAGAUUUAUCGCCUUUGGAUGGGCCCGCGUUGGAUUAGCUAGUUGGUGGGGUAAAGGCCUACCAAGGCGACGAUCCAUAGCUGGUCUGAGAGGAUGAUCAGCCACACUGGGACUGAGACACGGCCCAGACUCCUACGGGAGGCAGCAGUGGGGAAUAUUGGACAAUGGGCGAAAGCCUGAUCCAGCAAUGCCGCGUGAGUGAUGAAGGCCUUAGGGUUGUAAAGCUCUUUUACCCGGGAUGAUAAUGACAGUACCGGGAGAAUAAGCCCCGACUAACUCCGUG